rnacentral:rRNA from 1 species
GAUGAACGCUAGCUACAGGCUUAACACAUGCAAGUCGAGGGGUAACGAGAGGAAAGCUUGCUUUCCUUGUCGACGACCGGCGCACGGGUGAGUAACGCGUAUCCAACCUGCCCCCAACUAAGGAAUAACCUUGCGAAAGUAAGACUAAUACCUUAUAAUUUCCUCAGAUGUCAUCUGACGAGGAAUAAAGAUUUAUCGGUUGUGGAUGGGGAUGCGUCUGAUUAGCUUGUUGGCGGGGUAACGGCCCACCAAGGCAACGAUCAGUAGGGGUUCUGAGGGGAAGGUCCCCCACAUUGGAACUGAGACACGGUCCAAACUCCUACGGGAGGCAGCAGUGAGGAAUAUUGGUCAAUGGGCGAAAGCCUGAACCAGCCAAGUAGCGUGCAGGAGGACGGCCUAUGGGUUGUAAACUGCUUUUAUACAGGAAUAAAGUUAGCCACGUGUGGUUAUUUGUAGGUACUGUAUGAAUAAGGACCGGCUAAUUCCGUGCCAGCCGCCGCCGUAA